GUUGAACGCUGGCGGCAUGCUUUACACAUGCAAGUCGAACGGCAGCACGGGUGCUUGCACCUGGUGGCGAGUGGCGAACGGGUGAGUAAUACAUCGGAACAUGCCCAGUCGUGGGGGAUAACUACUCGAAAGAGUGGCUAAUACCGCAUGAGAUCUACGGAUGAAAGCAGGGGACCUUCGGGCCGUUGCGCGACUGGAGUGGCCGAUGGCAGAUUAGGUAGG
rnacentral:rRNA from 1 species